rnacentral:rRNA from 1 species
AGGAUAAACGCUGGCGGCGUGCCUAAUACAUGCAAGUCGAGCGGCAGCGCGGUCUUCGGACUGGCGGCGAGCGGCGGACGGCUGAGUAACACGUAGGAACGUACCCCAAAGUGAGGGAUAAGCACCAGAAAUGGUGUCUAAUACCGCAUGUGCUCUAAGGAGUAAAGCUUCGGCGCUUUGGGAACGGCCUACGCAUGAUUAGCUUGUUGGUGAGGUAAUGGCUCACCAAGGCGACGAUCAUUAGCUGGUCUGAGAGGAUGAUCAGCCAGACUGGGACUGAGAACGGCCCAGACUCCUACGGGAGGCAGCAGUAGGGAAUUUUCCACAAUGGGCGAAAGCCUGAUGGAGCAACGCCGCGUGCAGGAUGAAGGCCUUAGGGUUGUAAACUGCUUUAUGUGUGACGAAUAUGACGGUAGCAUAUGAAUAAGGAUCGGCUAACUCCGCGCCAGCAGCCGCGGU